AUCGGUUUCGUGAACGAGUUGCUCGUUUGGAAGAGCAAUCUAGUACACUAGUGACAGAGGAUAUCAAGUUGUUGUCACGAGGUCCACUUCAAAUGGCUAGAAGAUAUAGUGGUUAUAUUGUCAAUGGAGUUAGGUUCCACACAAAAAAGCGUGAAAGAUGCUUAAAGUCCCAAAAUAAUGGCAUUGUUGUCACUGUUAAGACAAGAAGUUAUGCUAGUUCAAGAGAUAAACACCCUAAGGAAGGGGAAAUAAAUUACUAUGGUGGUUUAACUUAUAUAAUUCAAUUGGAUUAUUUGGGUAUAUAUAAGGUAAUUCUUUUCAAAUGUGAUUGGGUUGACAUAAAUAGAGGGUGUAAAACUGAUAAUUUUGGCAUGACAUUAGUUAAUUUCAAAUGUCUACAACAUUCAGGGGAUGAUAUAUGUGAUGAUCCAUUUAUUUUUGCUUCACAAGCCAAAAAAGUAUUUUAUGUGGAAAAUGAAAGACAAAGUGAUUGGCUUGUUAUUGUGCAUGCCAAAGCUAGAGAUAUAUAUGACUUAGGUGAUGAGUGGUCUAAUGAAAUAGAACAAAGAAAAGAACACGACUUACAAGAGAUAAAUCAUAAUGAUUUAAUUAGGGCAGAAGUUAAUGAUAAUGAUGAUGGUAUCAUGGAAUUCAUAAUAAACAUGGAAGAUGCUCUCCAAAAUGCCAAUGUUGAAGAGGAAAUAGAGGGUUGGGGUGAAGAUUUCUUCUAUUUUUUUUCUUCUAAUAUAUAAGAUAUCAUGGGGAGACGCAAAAAAUUGCAUACUAUUCAUAAAAAUGAAUCUCAAGUUAAAAAGCUACCAAUUGAUAACUCUACUGGAAUUACUAUGCAAUAUCAAGAACACAAUCCUUCUAUUCCAGAAAAUAAUAUACAAUUUGGAAGAGGGUUUAUAAGAGAUCAUAUGGUGUCAAAUGAUAAUCACCAGCCUAGCCAAUCACACUUAGAGCAACAAACCGAAGACUUUAGUCAUGUUGAAUCUGAAACU